AUGCCGCGUGCAGGAUGAAGGCCUUCGGGUUGUAAACUGCUUUUGUACGGAACGAAAAGGUCCUUUUCUAAUAAAGAGGGCUCAUGACGGUACCGUAAGAAUAAGCACCGGCUAACUACGUGCCAGCAGCCGCGGUAAUACGUAGGGUGCGAGCGUUAAUCGGAAUUACUGGGCGUAAAGCGUGCGCAGGCGGUUAUAUAAGACAGAUGUGAAAUCCCCGGGGCUCAACCUGGGAACUGCAUUAGUGACUGUAUAGCUGGAGUGCGGCAGAGGGGGAUGGAAUUCCGCGUGUAGCAGUGAAAUGCGUAGAUAUGCGGAGGAACACCGAUGGCGAAGGCAAUCCCCUGGGCCUGCACUGACGCUCAUGCACGAAAGCGUGGGGAGCAAACAGGAUUAGAUACCCUGGUAGUCCACGCCCUAAACGAUGUCAACUGGUUGUUGGGAAUUCACUUUCUCAGUAACGAAGCUAACGCGUGAAGUUGACCGCCUGGGGAGUACGGCCGCAAGGUUAAAACUCAAAGGAAUUGACGGGGAC
rnacentral:rRNA from 1 species